CCAUUGUUAAUCCUAGAAGACACAAGUAAAAGUUGAUUUGAGUCAAAGUUCAGAUUCUUCUAUUUGUAAUUCCAUAAAGCUGGAAGCCUUGGACUGAUUGCUCAGUUUUUUAGAAAAUGGAAAUCGAGAAAACUGUACUACAUGUACUAUUGAGGAAGACAGAUGCACAUAAGAUAAUUCUUAACAAAAGCAGCAGUGGAGAGCAUGUUAUCAUGCAACAUAGACUAGUCUAUUCUUUGUUAAAUGAUGUAAAAAUGAAAAUAUCAGAAACAGUGAAUAGAUUGUAUGCAGAUAAGAUAAAUUCAAAUCAGCCUAAAAAGUCUAUAUCUUUAGAAUCAACAAAUAAUUCAUAGGCACUUAAUUCAGAUAAAGUUCUUCAAAUGAGAUGGGCAUCCAUGUUAAUAAAUCCAGAGUCACAUUACUUCAACAACUAAAGCAAGCUAUUGUACAUGACUGAAAAAUCUAAUAUUAAAAGGCGAGUGGUAACAAGGUAGAUCCUUAAGUGGCUGCUGAUGAGAUGAGAUCUUUAUACAACAUGUACAAAAAGGAGAAUUUUGAUCAGACCAACAAAUUGCUUCAUUUUUGUCCUUCCUUUGUCAGAUAGAGAAAAAAGACUUAGUUGUUCUGAAGAUUAUGUAGCAGCAGAGAAAAAAGACAGAACAGAUAUAAAAAGUACUUUUGGAACCAAAUAACAGUUAAACUGUUUUUAGUUUUAAUUCUUUUCAUGCUUACCGCUUUCUUGACCAAUAAAACUAGAUAUUAGUGUCUUUCAGUUUGUAAAUACAUGUAUUGACUGCAUUAUUUAUGAAUAAAAAACUUUAUUUUG